GCGUACUUCGUAUAAUGCUAUUACCUCAGCCUUCCAAGCUGAUGAUGCGGGUUCGAUUCCCGCAGUACGCUCCA
rnacentral:tRNA from 1 species